rnacentral:rRNA from 1 species
AUUGAACGCUGGCGGCAUGCCUUACACAUGCAAGUCGAACGGUAACAGGUUAAGCUGACGAGUGGCGAACGGGUGAGUAAUACAUCGGAACGUGCCCAGACGUGGGGGAUAGCUCAGCGAAAGCCGGAUUAAUACCGCAUAAGCUCUGAGGAGGAAAGCGGGGGACCGUAAGGCCUCGCGCGUUUGGAGCGGCCGAUGGCAGAUUAGGUAGUUGGUGGGGUAAAGGCUUACCAAGCCUACGAUCUGUAGCUGGUCUGAGAGGACGACCAGCCACACUGGGACUGAGACACGGCCCAGACUCCUACGGGAGGCAGCAGUGGGGAAUUUUGGACAAUGGGCGCAAGCCUGAUCCAGCAAUGCCGCGUGCAGGAUGAAGGCCUUCGGGUCGUAAACUGCUUUUGUACGGAACGAAAAGGCGCCUACUAAUACUGGGUGUUGAUGACGGUACCGUAAGAAUAAGCACCGGCUAACUACGUGCCAGCCGCCGCAGUAACAC